rnacentral:tRNA from 1 species
CUCUGGUUAGCUAAUUUUAAGUGUUAGACUCUUAAUCUAAUUAUGUCAGUUAUAAUCUGUCACUGGAGG